rnacentral:rRNA from 1 species
UACGGGAGGCAGCAGUCGGGAAUAUUGCGCAAUGGAGGAAACUCUGACGCAGUGACGCCGCGUAUAGGAAGAAGGUUUUCGGAUUGUAAACUAUUGUCGUUAGGGAAGAAAAAAGACAGUACCUAAGGAGGAAGCUCCGGCUAACUAUGUGCCAGCAGCCGCGGNUAAU